rnacentral:rRNA from 1 species
GUGUGUUGAGAAGCAUGCUGGAGGUAUCAGAAGUGCGAAUGCUGACGUGAGUAACGACAAAACGGGUGAAAAACCCGUUCGCCGAAAGACCAAGGGUUCCAGUCCAACGUUAAUCGGGGCUGGGUGAGUCGACCCCUAAGGCGAGGCCGAAAGGCGUAGUCGAUGGGAAAAUGGUUAAUAUUCCAUUACUUCUGUGUAAUGCGAUGAGAGGACGGAGAAGGCUAAAUCAGCCUGGCGUUGGUUGUCCAGGUGAAAGGAUGUAGGCAUGUAUCUUAGGCAAAUCCGGGGUACUCUAUGCUGAGAUCUGAUAGCAAGCUGUACUUGUACAGCGAAGUGGUUGAUGCCAUGCUUCCAGGAAAAGUCUCUAAGCUUCAGUUACACAGGAAUCGUACCCGAAACCGACACAGGUGGUCAGGUCGAGUAGACCAAGGCGCUUGAGAGAACUCUGCUGAAGGAACUAGGCAAAAUGGUACCGUAACUUCGGGAGAAGGUACGCUGUUGUUGGUGAUGGAACUCGCUUCCUGAGCUGACGACAGCCGCAGAAACCAGGCCGCUGCAACUGUUUAUUAAAAACAUAGCACUCUGCAAACACGAAAGUGGACGUAUAGGGUGUGAUGCCUGCCCGGUGCUGGAAGGUUAAUUGAUGGGGUUAGCGUAAGCGAAGCUCUUGAUCGAAGCCCCAGUAAACGGCGGCCGUAACUAUAACGGUCCUAAGGUAGCGAAAUUCCUUGUCGGGUAAGUUCCGACCUGCACGAAUGGCAUAAUGAUGGCGGCGCUGUCUCCAGCAGAGGCUCAGUGAAAUCGAAAUCGCUGUGAAGAUGCAGUGUACCCGCGGCUAGACGGAAAGACCCCGUGAACCUUUACUGCAGCUUGACACUGAACUUUGACCUUACUUGUGUAGGAUAGGUGGGAGGCUUUGAAGCUGGAACGCUAGUUCCAGUGGAGCCGUCCUUGAAAUACCACCCUGGUAAUGUUGAGGUUCUAACUCUGUCCCGUGAUCCGGGACGAGGACCGUGUCUGGUGGGUAGUUUGACUGGGGCGGUCUCCUCCUAAAGAGUAACGGAGGAGUACGAAGGUGCGCUCAGCGUGGUCGGAAAUCACGCGUAGAGUAUAAAGGCAAAAGCGCGCUUAACUGCGAGACCCACAAGUCGAGCAGGUACGAAAGUAGGUCUUAGUGAUCCGGUGGUUCUGUAUGGAAGGGCCAUCGCUCAACGGAUAAAAGGUACUCUGGGGAUAACAGGCUGAUACCGCCCAAGAGUUCAUAUCGACGGCGGUGUUUGGCACCUCGAUGUCGGCUCAUCUCAUCCUGGGGCUGAAGCAGGUCCCAAGGGUAUGGCUGUUCGCCAUUUAAAGAGGUACGCGAGCUGGGUUUAGAACGUCGUGAGACAGUUCGGUCCCUAUCUACCGUGGGCGCUGGAAAUUUGAGAGGAUCUGCUCCUAGUACGAGAGGACCAGAGUGGACGAACCUCUGGUGUACCGGUUGUGACGCCAGUCGCAUCGCCGGGUAGCUAUGUUCGGAAGGGAUAACCGCUGAAAGCAUCUAAGCGGGAAGCCUACCUCAAGAUAAGAUUUCCCUAGGACUUUAUGUCCUCUAAAGAGCCGUUCGAGACUAGGACGUUGAUAGGUUGGAUGUGGAAGCAUAGUGAUAUGUGAAGCUGACCAAUACUAAUUGCUCGUGAGGCUUGACUAU